rnacentral:rRNA from 1 species
AGAGUUUGAUCCUGGCUCAGAAUCAACGCUGGCGGCGUGCCUAACACAUGCAAGUCGCACGAGAAAGGGACUUCGGUCCUGAGUACAGUGGCGCACGGGUGAGUAACACGUGAAUCAUCUACCUUCGAGUGGGGAAUAACUGAGAGAAAUCUUAGCUAAUACCGCAUAAUACCUACGGGUCAAAGCAGCAAUGCGCUUGAAGAGGAGUUCGCGGCAAGAUUAGUUAGUUGGCGGGGUAAUGGCCCACCAAGACGAUGAUCUGUAUCCGGCCUGAGAGGGCGCACGGACACACUGGAACUGAAACACGGUCCAGACUCCUACGGGAGGCAGCAGUGGGGAAUUUUGCGCAAUGGGGGAAACCCUGACGCAGCAACGCCGCGUGGAGGAUGAAAUCCCUUGGGAUGUAAACUCCUUUCGAUCGGGAAGAUAAUGACGGUACC